GGAGGGUGCAAGCAUUAAUCGGAAUUAUUGGGCGUAAAGGGCGCGUAGGUGGUAGAUCAAGUCACAUGUGAAAUUCCAAGGCUCAACCUUGGAACUGCAUGUGAAACUGGCCUGCUAGAGGUAAAGCGGAGAAAACGGAAUUUCCCGUGUAGCGGUGAAAUGCGUGGAUAUGGGAAGGGACACCGGUGGCGAAGGCGGUUUUCUAGCUUUAACCUGACACUGAGGCGCGAAAGCGAGGGGAGCAAACAGGAUUAGAUACCCUGGUAGUCCUCGCUGUAAACGAUGCAUACUUGAUGUGAACUAGGCUCAACCCUAGUCGUGUCGAAGCUAACGCGAUAAGUAUGCCGCCUGGGAGUACGCUCGCAAGGGUG
rnacentral:rRNA from 1 species